AGAGUGAAAAAAGAAGCGACAACAAACAUAGUAGUGCAAGCUAUAUAUAUAUAUAUAUAUAGCUUGCACUACUAUGUUUGUUGUCGCUUCUUUUUUCACUCUUCU
rnacentral:ribozyme from 1 species